rnacentral:sRNA from 1 species
GUGCUAAAACUGGGGAGCUAGUGGGCACCAUGAAGAUCUUCUGCAGUCGGGCCAAUCCGACCACGGGGUCUGUGGAGUGGCUGGAGGAGGAUGAACACUAUGAUUUCCACCAGGAGAUUGCAAGGUCAUCCUAUGCAGAUAUGCUACAUGACAAAGACAGAAAUGUAAAAUACUACCAAGGUAUCCGGGCUGCUGUGAGCAGGGUGAAGGACAGAGGACAGAAGGCCUUGGUUCUCGACAUUGGCACUGGCACGGGACUCUUGUCAAUGAUGGCGGUCACAGCAGGCGCCGACUUCUGCUAUGCCAUCGAGGUAAGCCAUUCCCUUCAGGUGUGUGUCGUGCAU